rnacentral:rRNA from 1 species
GACGAACGCUGGCGGCGUGCUUAACACAUGCAAGUCGAACGGAAAGGCCCUGCUUUUGUGGGGUGCUCGAGUGGCGAACGGGUGAGUAACACGUGAGUAACCUGCCCUUGACUUUGGGAUAACUUCAGGAAACUGGGGCUAAUACCGGAUAGGAGCUCCUGCUGCAUGGUGGGGGUUGGAAAGUUUCGGCGGUUGGGGAUGGACUCGCGGCUUAUCAGCUUGUUGGUGGGGUAGUGGCUUACCAAGGCUUUGACGGGUAGCCGGCCUGAGAGGGUGACCGGCCACUUGGGGCUGAGAGUGCGGCCCGGACCCCACGGGGAGCAACCGGUGGGGAUUGUGGCAUAGUGGGCGGACGCUGGUGCCCGCAUCGCGCGGGGGGGGAGGCGGGCUUUGGGUUUGUAGCCGGUUUCCGCCUGGGACCCAGGGGGCGUGACGUUAUUGGAUAAAGAAGCACCGCCCACCUCCCUC